rnacentral:rRNA from 1 species
GACGAAGGAUCCAAGCGUUAUCCGGAUUCAUUGGGUUUAAAGGGAGCGUAGGCGGGUUUAUAAGUCAGUGGUGAAAGCCGGUCGCUUAACGAUCGAACUGCCAUUGAUACUGUAGACCUAGAAUAUAGAUGAUGUUGGCGGAAUAUGUCAUGUAGCGGUGAAAUGCUUAGAUAUGACAUAGAACACCAAUUGCGAAGGCAGUUCACUACGGAUAUAUUGACACUGAGGCACGAAAGCGUGGGGAUCAAACAGG